AUAUGUGUGUGUGGAUUAGUAUAUAUGUGUGGAUUGAUCCCGGCGCACAGCACUGAAGCCACGCCCACCGCUGUCCGUGCCCUCUGACCCGGAAGAAGACAGAGAGGACAGAAGAA